rnacentral:rRNA from 1 species
AACGAACGCUGGCGGCAGGCUUAACACAUGCAAGUCGAACGGGUGCAGCAAUGCAUCAGUGGCAGACGGGUGAGUAACACGUGGGAACCUUCCUAGGGGUACGGAACAACUCAGGGAAACUUGAGCUAAUACCGUAUACGUCCGUGAGGAGAAAGAUUUAUCGCCCUUAGACGGGCCCGCGUCGGAUUAGCUAGUUGGUGGGGUAACGGCCUACCAAGGCGACGAUCCGUAGCUGAUCUUAGAGGAUGAUCAGCCACACUGGGACUGAGACACGGCCCAGACUCAUACGGGAGGCAGCAGUGGGGAAUCUUGGACAAUGGGCGCAAGCCUGAUCCAGCCAUGCCGCGUGAGUGAAGAAGGUCUUCGGAUUGUAAAGCUCUUUUGCCAGGGACGAUAAUGACGGUACCUGGAGAAUAAGCCCCGGCAAACUUCGUGCCAGCCGCCGCGGUAAUAC